rnacentral:tRNA from 1 species
GAGGAUGUAGCUCAAGAGGUAGAGUGCAUGUCUAGCAUGCACAAGGUCCUGGGUUCAAUCCCCAGUAUCUCCU